rnacentral:misc_RNA from 1 species
CAAUCCCUGGUGAACUAAAAAGGGAUAGCCCAUUCCUGACCCACACAAUCUUUAACACGUACCAUACAGAGCAUGAGCUGCUCAGGUAUAUCCAUAGGUUACAGUCGAAGGAUCUAUCUUUGUGCCACAGCAUGAUUCCACUGGGAUCUUGUACAAUGAAACUGAAUGCAACAUCUGAAAUGAUGCCAGUAACAUGGCCUAACUUUACUGACAUUCACCCUUUUGCUCCUACUGAACAGGCUGAGGGUUAUCAGGAAAUGUUCAAUGACCUGGGCGAAUUAUUGUGUACCAUUACUGGAUUUGACUCAUUCUCAUU